UCGGCGAAUGCCGAUGGAACUACAUGGAGGGUUGCAUCCUCGGAUUUACGGGUUCGAAUCCCGUCGGUGCCGUGCAGUCUGGCGGCCCGUGGCGGAAUUGGUAAACGCACAGCUUUUGUUCCAUCAACGCUUUGUCGCCGAUCU
rnacentral:Y_RNA from 1 species